rnacentral:lncRNA from 1 species
UCACUCUCUCCCUCUCUACACUCUUGGCCAUCUCUCAAACCAACCCUCCUAGAGGGGUUUCACUCAAACAAAUCACACAACAACAACCUUGGUACCACCACCAUCACUCCUAUGAACUCAGAAUUGAAAGAGGACCCUCCAAACUCGCUGCACAGCGUUCACCACUGUUCACUGAGUUUUUCGACGAGUUUCCACCUUUUUUGACGAAGGUAAGCCUCAAAACUUGUCCAAAAGUUGUAGAUCGUGUCUUGGUGUAUGUUUACAGGUAGUUUUGAGAAGUUUCGGUGAUGUUUGGACGUAGGAAUCUCAUGGGGAAAACUUCCAUAGUUUUCCCGGUGAAGACAGCCACUUUCGAGCCAUUUUCCGGCCGAACCACGACGAGUUAGUCAUCAAGAAAGGUACCAUUCUCUUCCUCUCAUCGAGAAGUAUGAUUUUCGUUUUUGAAUCACUCAAUGACGUUGAGUAUUGAAGAAGUUAUGAAUGUUUAAAGUUUACCUAGUUUACGGCGAGUUCUCCGGUUUUCCCACGGACCGGUCACACUUCAAGCCAUUUUCCGGCUAUUUUCGGCAACCAUUGGGCUUCCAAAUAGGUAUAAUCUUGUUCGACACUUUCCUAUCUUCAUUUUAUAUAUUAUGGGUCGAAUUUGGUUAAGAAACACGUGAGUUGAGAAGCUUUGAAAAUUACCCAACUUCCAGCCAAAAAUCCCAAUUUCUAGUAUAAGCUCCGACGGCUCGGCUCGGCUCAGCUUCAGCUGACUUCUCAAUCAGUGUCGACCAUUGACUGUCAACAUUGACUUUUGGGUUGACAUUUUUUGGUUUCGGCUGGGACCCCUCCUAGACUAAUUUCGACGUCCUAAUUCCAAAUAUGCGCUUCUUUUUUCCAAAUUCAAUCAUUUUAGUAGAGUUUUAUUAAUUGGUCCCUUCAUGUGCUUAGGUGCAUUUGUUAGUGGCAACCCCGUCCUCUCUAGUUAAAACGGCUCUUCGGCGAUAGAGUAUCUGUUAGUUGACCCCUUCCAAAAUGCAUGAUUUUAUUACUAGAGAUGCAUACAUGAAAAACAUGAUUUUAUGGCUACAUUUUAUGAAACGUUUAUGAGUAAAUUGGAUUUACGCUUUGUGAAAUAUCAUGCUUUAUCAAAUUUAUGUUUACUGAGAUAUUUAUGAAUAUGAUUUAUUGAUAUGAUGUUUGAGCUAUUGAGCUCCGAUGAGAUAUAUUUUGGAAAGA